UACGAAGGGUGCAAACGUUGCUCGGAAUUAUUGGGCGUAAAGCGCACGUAGGCGGCUUGGCAAGUCGGAUGUGAAAUCCCUCGGCUCAACCAAGGAAGUGCAUCCGAAACUGCCGAGCUUGAGUACUUAAGAGGAUCGCGGAAUUCCCGGUGUAGAGGUGAAAUUCGUAGAUAUCGGGAGGAACACCAGUGGCGAAGGCGGCGAUCUGGGAAGAUACUGACGCUGAGGAGCGAAAGCUAGGGGAGCAAACGGG
rnacentral:rRNA from 1 species